GUUUUACGGUCUAGGCGCAGAAGACGACAGCGAGAAGACGAGCAAAGAAUUAAGUGGGACGGUUUUUGUUUGAUUUUGCUUUGUGGCUUUUUAAUGUGUCAUUUGGUUAAAACAAUAAUCAAAUGACACCUUUCCACUUACGUCGUUGCUCGUCUCCUCGUCGUCGUCUUCUACGCAGAUUGUAAAAC